rnacentral:rRNA from 1 species
UAAGCAUAUAAGUAAGUGGUGGAAAUUAAACCAAAUGGGAUUCCUUAAGUAAUUGCGAAUGAACAAGGACAUGCUUAGCUUGACAAUUGGAGCCUCUGGCUUCGACUUGUAUUUUUGAAAUGUAUUACCAACAGAGGUGCAGGUGUCAGCCUAUUGAAAGAAAGCGUCAAUGAGGGUGAGAAUCCUGUUUGUCAUGUGCAAUCCUCUGUGCACGGUGUAUGUUUGCUGAGUCACACUCCUUGGCAUUGGAAUGCAAAGUGGGUGGUAAGUUUCAUGUAAAGGUAAAUAUAGGAUUGAGACUGAUAGCACACAAGUACCAUGAGGGAAAUAUGAAAAGGACUUUGAAAAGAGAAUUAAAUGAGUUUGUAUUUGCUGAACAGAAAAUAAACAGAUUUGAUGUUGCUUGGUGAGAUUGUGGUGCUUGCUUGACAAUAGGUUUUGAUUGUGGGUGUGAUGAUUCUUGCUUUGCUUGCCAGUUUCUAUUUGUACAUUUGAUUACCCUUGCACAUGAAUGGUAAUUUUCCUGCGGGGUUUGGAUUGCAUGUGUUUGUGAUGAUUUGUGUUUUGAUACAUGUGUCUGGUGCUUUUGUAAUUGCUCAUUUCUUGAAGCUGGGCCUACCCUACUAGAGCUUACAAGCCCUGGCACACAAUUGCUGGCAAAAUGCUUCUGCUUGACCCGUCUUGAAACAACA